rnacentral:rRNA from 1 species
GCGUGAGUGAUGAAGGCCUUAGGGUUGUAAAGCUCUUUCACCCGUGAAGAUGAUGACGGUAGCGGGAGAAGAAGCCCCGGCUAACUCCGUGCCAGCAGCCGCGGUAAUACGGAGGGGGCGAGCGUUGUUCGGAAUUACUGGGCGUAAAGGGCGCGUAGGCGGGCUGGCCAGUCAGAGGUGAAAGUCCUGGGCUCAACCUGGGGACUGCCUUUGAAACUGCCAGUCUUGAGUCCGGGAGAGGAUGGCGGAAUUCCCAGUGUAGAGGUGAAAUUCGU